UACGUAGGUGGCAAGCGUUGUCCGGAUUUACUGGGCGUAAAGAGCGCGCAGGCGGUCAGAUAAGUCGAAUGUGAAGGCCCCCGGCUCAACUGGGGAGGGUCAUUCGAUACUGUUCGACUCGAAGGCAGGAGAGGGAAGUGGAAUUCCCGGUGUAGUGGUGAAAUGCGUAGAUAUCGGGAGGAACACCAGUGGCGAAGGCGGCUCUCUGGUACGUGACUGACGCUGAGACGCGAAAGCGUGGGGAGCGAACAGG
rnacentral:rRNA from 1 species